rnacentral:rRNA from 1 species
GACGGAAGGUGCAAGCGUUGCUCGGAAUCACUGGGCGUAAAGGGUGCGUAGGCGGCCGUGCAAGUCUGGCGUGAAAGCCCCGGGCUCAGCCCGGGAAGUGCGCUCGAAACUGCGCGGCUCGAGUGCCGGAGGGGAGAGUGGAAUUCCUGGUGUAGCGGUGAAAUGCGUUGAUAUCGGAAGGAACGUCGGUGGCGAAAGCGACGGACUGGAUCUCUUCUGACGCUGAGGCGCGAAAGCCAGGGGAGCAAACGGG